GUGAAUCAUCAAAUUUUUGAACGCAAAUUGCACUCUCUUCGGAGAGUAUGCCUGUUUGAGGGUCAGCCUAAAAAAAAAAUCGACAUAGUCGCUGUUUCGCGGUGAUAUUCGUCGGUAAUUGGGUCAUCUUAAAUUUUUGUGUUUUAUUCUGCUUAAAAUUUUCUUUACGAUUUCACGAACGUUUUUCUGGGUUACUUCUUAUACGUUUAAGGUAUCGUUC
rnacentral:misc_RNA from 1 species